GACGAACGCUGGCGGCGUGCCUAAUACAUGCAAGUAGAACGCACAGGAUGCACCGUAGUUUACUACACCGUAUUCUGUGAGUUGCGAACGGGUGAGUAACGCGUAGGUAACCUGCCUGGUAGCGGGGGAUAACUAUUGGAAACGAUAGCUAAUACCGCAUAAGAACAUUUACUGCAUGGUAGACGUUUAAAAGGUGCAAAUGCAUCACUACCAGAUGGACCUGCGUUGUAUUAGCUAGUAGGUGAGGUAACGGCUCACCUAGGCGACGAUACAUAGCCGACCUGAGAGGGUGAUCGGCCACACUGGGACUGAGACACGGCCCAGACUCCUACGGGAGGCAGCAGUAGGGAAUCUUCGGCAAUGGGGGGAACCCUGACCGAGCAACGCCGCGUGAGUGAAGAAGGUUUUCGGAUCGUAAAGCUCUGUUGUUAAGGAAGAACGAGUGUGAGAAGGAAAGUUCAU
rnacentral:rRNA from 1 species